CGGUUCCUGCAGUGGCUCGAUUCCCGCUCUGCCCUGAGGAGGGGCCAACAUGGCGGAACAGCAUGGAAGGGUUUUUUUGGGGUUCCUCCUUGCUGAAAUGCAGCCAGAUCAACACUAAACCAUCUUGCACACCUAGAAAACUGAUCUGCACAACCUGAACCACAGAACUCGGCAGCUGAAGCCCCUGCUGUUAUUCAAUUAAGCCUGGAUACCAGACCAGAGGCUCCUGGAUGGAGAGUCCCCAGCCCAGAUCUCCUGUGGGUACAGCACAGAACUCACACAGACAGAGCAGAGCGACUAACAGUUGGAUUUAGAGCUUUCUGGUUCACCCUGCACCGCAGGCAAAAAGCAAUGUUCCUUUGGGUUUGCACAGUGUCUGGAUGGAGUGAGUCAUUUAAUCCCAUAAGAUCUUGGAGCAAGUUCCUUCACCUUCCUGUCCUGAUUUUUGGGGAGAAGCAGUUGAGAAAUAUAAGUGCCUAAUAAAU
rnacentral:lncRNA from 1 species